CAUCGGUUCCCGUACGAUCACCGAAGUUAAGCAACGUUAAACCUGGUCAGUACUUAGUUUGGUAACUAUUUGGGAAUACCAGGUGCUGUAA